UGUUUUUUUUCUGUAAGCAUAUGUUUGCAAAGACACGUGAAACUUGAUAUAUGGCUUUAGCCUUUUUGCGAAAGAAAAGAAAGGGGCCAGAAAAAUCAUAGUUGAUUUUGAUGGUCAUCUCAUUGCAAUCCACAACUCCCUUUCGCCUUCAACCUCUAGCCGCUCCGACCAGUAUACCAUGCAAUCUUAUGUGCCACCUCGCCAACCCGCCUCAACCAACUGUCACACACCGUUGGUCUCUGUCACCCACCAUCUAACUGUGUUGAGUCCCGACCAUUUUCUCCCUCGCCACCUAAACCUAACUCUUGAAUUGCAAAGUUUUCUCCUCUCCCUGCAUCGGCGUCACCUUCUAAAACCACACGAUAAUCUCCACUAAAAUAAUUCCAAGCCGACCCCUACCACUUUAUUUUCGGGGAAAGAAAUCUCUUGCAAAGCAAUCAACGGAAGUCAAAUAAUUGCCAACAUAAAAAAAACUCUUUCAAGCAAACAAAAAAGUACCGACUCACGUUGUUGUACGAACACAAUCUCAAUCACAUCAUGUUUUUUCCUUAUCUUUGCCGAUGGAUUCCUUCCCCGUAGCAUAUGUCAAUCUCAACCCAAUAAAAAGAAACCUACAUUGAACCAGUAGAACAAAUUUGCCACUGUUACAACGCACGGGUAUUUAGCUAGUACUAUGAACUAGUUUUGAGUGGCACACACACAUAGUCGCACGAUAUCCACAAAUUCGACCCUCUAUUCCACGACUCAACACUCCACUGAGCACUUUCAUUCUGAUGUAGUCCUUCUGUACACGUUCCUUAUUACAGGCUAGAGGAGUCUACAUCAUUGAGUAUCUCCGAGUGGAAUAAAAGUGCAAGAGAGUCCUAAAGAGAAUUUUCUAUGUGUAGAUAACAUUCUUUUUCUCGCAAUAUGACAUUGUACUACGUGCCCCCAUAAUUUAUAACAUAAAGCCUUUACCUUCAUAAUUCUUUGUUCUUAUGCUACAAAGCAACAGCAAAAACGACAAAUUUGACCUGUGGACAAAAAGAAUUCACAAAGUGAACUGUCUUUGAAAAAAUUUCAUUCCGAUGACCCUUUUAUGUAGCGCCCGACAGUUAGGCGCCAUACUACACUGUGUAAUGCCUGACUGACAGGCGCUACACAUCUGGCCAGCGUCGCACUCCGGGAUAUUUAAAAAUUGCUAAGUCAGUGUGCAACGCCUAAGAAUUAGGCGCUACAUGCUACACUAUACAGUGUAGCGCUUAGACCAUAGGCGCUGCACUACUUGCAUGUAUGCAGCGGUGCAUAGUGUGUAACGUAGAUAGAUGAAUUAGAAUAAGAUUAUGUAGCAAACGCACGAUACACACAAAUUCGACCCUCUAUUCCGUGACUCAACACUCCACUGAGCACUUCGAUUCAAAUCUAGUCCUUCUAUACGCAUUACGACACUUUCCUUAUUACAAGCUAGAGGAGUCUACAUCAUUGAGUAUCUCGGAGUGGAAUAAAAGUGCAAGAGAGUCCUAAAGAGAAUUUUCUAUGUGUAGAUAACAUUCUUUUUCUCGCAAUAUGACAUUGUGGUAUGUGCCCCCAUAAUUUAUAACAUAAAGCCUUUACCUCCAAAAUUCUUAGUUCUUUCGCUACAAACCAUCCUUCUCAUAUCAGAUGUGCACAUUGCAUUGUUUUUUCCCUUGUCUUGAGCGUACAAAAAUAUCAGGCUUGCGGACCUUUUAGAUUUUUAUUUCCAUACGAAACAUGCGCCUCCAUGUUUGAGUAUCAAGGCUUCUUUGAUUUGAAGUGGUUUUAGACUCCUUUGUUCAUGAAAGAAAUGGGCAUGGUGUGGAUUAUGACUUCAUUUGGCAUGGCGUUGUCAAGUGCUUGGUGGGUAUGGGUAUCAAGCAGCAACACAUGAGAAAACAACAACAGCAACAACAAUUAUCAUGUGCAAAUGAGAAAACAAGAGGAUGAAGAAAAUAGCAUAGAAAGGUAAAACUGCAUUUCUAUAACCCCAUAGAAUCGAACCAUAGUACAAACCAUACUCACCAAAACAGCAUUCUCAACCUCAGUCAGGACAAAACCAUGCUCACAAAAACUGCAUUCUCAGCUCCUGUAAGGACAGAAAACUCCCGCCCCGCUGCAGCACUACAAAUCGACCAACCCACAUACAAAAAACUCAUAAGAAUUGCAAUGAUAUAGAGUUCCUAUGUGGUCUAUUUGGAGAGAUUUUAUUAAUUAUUUGAUCAACACCUUAUCCCCCACCCCACCCCCCAAUGGUUUACUGUUCUUACUUACCCCCUCUUCAUUCAUGUGCAUAAAAUUGAUCAACAUAUGGAACCGUGAAACAGGCAGAGUCAUGCUAGAAUGACCUCCACUUUACUGGACAAAUUACAGGUCACAUUAUGUCUCUUCCUUCUAACUUUACAUAGUAUAUAUCUUUUACAGAAAAGCCUUGAACGUAUGAUUGGGAUCCUAGGUACUCACAUUGAUCACACAAGCAAGUCUCAGGUGUUCUGUAAAGAAAUUCUUCAUGUGACCAUGUUGACAACAACAUGCUAGGGCGACACAAUUCCGGGCGCAACACAG
rnacentral:lncRNA from 1 species